GCUGCCCCAGCCCCGGAGUGGCUCGGUGGGGCGAGCUCGGCCUGGCCCGGGGGGCUUCAUCCUUUUUCCCUCCCUCCCCGGGGAUGAAGCCAGCCGCACAGCCAGGCUCGGUGCCCUCGGCCCCCGGGGGUCCCAGCCUGCUGCUGGCUCGGUGCCCCGCGCGGGUCUGGGGGAGGCAGUUGGUGCGGGCUGUGCUCACACCGCCUUGUCCUUGGCCAGGGCGAAGCGCGGGGCAUCCCUUCAUCCCCCGGGAUCCAUGUGGCACAUGGCGCCGGCGGUGUCCGGCUUCUCGAGCGCGGUGGUGGCCCAAAGGGCUUUGGCAGCCCAGGUUUUGCACGGACGCUGUGUGUGUAAUUCAGGGCCCUGAGGAGGUUACAGGAGUUUGCUCGUGGCGUUCAGUCACGAGAGGAGAGUUGGAACCCUCGGCUGCAUUCCCAGCUCCUGCUUGUUGGCUGACCUUGGGCAAAUUACUUUUUCUCCAUGCGCUCAAGCUGCGCACAUGCUGAUUUCAUACAGUAAUUCAGUGCUCUUGGGGAUCUGAAAAACUAUAGGAAUAGAAAUGCAAAGCGAACCUUGAAAACGACAUUGACCUUGUCUUGUAGCCUGCUUCACUGAAGGCCAAAGUCAGGUCUGUAUUUUCUUGCAGUAGCUUAUCUGGGAUGAUAGUGCUGCUGACGUGCAUUUUGCAAAAAUUCCAAGUUACAAGGUGCUGACACCUGUAACGGGGAUCUGUGAAGUCUGUCGGUAACCGAGCCUGCCACCAGCUCACGCGUUUCUCCUUAGCAUUGCUCUGCGAGGUAGCAUGUUACUGUUGCCCCCACUUUGAUGGGAAACUGAGGACCAGAGCACGCCAGCAACUACCCCAGGUUUGCACGAGAAGUUUGCAGUGGAGCAGACCUGAUCCGACCUCCUCAGUCCUGCUCAGAUCUCCUUAGUCCCAAGCCAGCAGCUCAACCACCGGACCUUCUUGCCCUCUGGUUGCGCUUUUCUUCCUAUUGUUAGUUCAACAAAACUGCUCACUCUGAGUUUGCAAGACACAUACUAAAUAAGGCUCCCGAGUUAAGGAGUUUAUAGUUUAAUUAAGUUGUCUUGGGGGCAUACUGAAGGGAUGGAGACUUCCUGAGCUGCUCUACAAGGAAACCUUGUUGGAAAAUCCGGUAUUAAGACUUUGUGGAAGAGGUAAACAGAAUUGUUUGGUAGCCAGAGGGGGAAGGCUUUUCGAGAGUCAGAGAAGCAGAGAUCAGAAGGAGAUCAUAAAACUGGUGUGGAGGAAGGAGUGGAACUGAGUGCUGCCUUGAAGGUGAUGGUUCAGAGCACGCACUUGUGAUGAAAACUUGAAGCCUGAAGGUUGAGGUUGGCCCAAACACCUUCCUCACCUCACGUGUGAGCUGUGAUUGUCUCUGCUCAUCAGGACUUGGUGCAGAGCCAUGCUGGAGAUGGGCUGUGGGACUCCGAGCAGUGUGGCUUCUUGCUCUUGGCAGAUUUUGAACGAUGUGGGGAUUAAUUCUUCUUAAGGGGAAGAGCCUUUAUAUCACAUCCAGGCUACUGCUCAAUAUUUCCCUUUCCUAGCUCUCAGGACCCUGAGGAGUAACAAGGACUGGCUCGACUGGUUUGCAGCUCCGCAGAGAUCUCACGGACUCACUCUGGAAAAGGUUCUUAAGGGACUUUGGCAUGGGUUUUCUUUCUCUUGGAAACUCACUUUCUGCAUUACAUGUAAGAAGAUCCUGCGUUCUUGGGUGGUUUAGGUGCUGCAGGAGCAGGAUGUAGUCCCCAAGCUGCCUCCUGGCAGGGGCAGGGACGGUGCAUGGCAGCUCGGUGGGUGCUGGGGCUCUGUGCUCACAGCCCCGUGACCCGCAGGGUUUGACGUGUUGAAUCGUGGGGAGCGCAGCCACCUUCUGGAGACCUCCCAGGUCUAACCUGGAGGUACUGCGAUCUGUUUUGAAAUGUGGGGGGGGUGUCCUCAAGGGCCCUGUGAGCUGACCCCAGACAGGCUGUCUGCGAUGCUCUCUGGAGGUGUGACGGAGCUGGGGCAGACCUGCCUGAACUGGCUCUAAACUCGCUGGUUCAGGCACCCAUCACCAGUGUAACCACUGGUGAACGCUCACCGGAGCCCCGAGCAGUUUGGCAGCUGGCACUCUCAUCCCUGUCUCGUUAUCUGUUCCCAAACUCGUUAGCUUUAAUCCAGCCAUGAUAGAUCUGCGUCAGGGUGUGGUUGUUACCAACAUUUGCAGCGUGGGGAAACCAGCACCCUCGCAGGGAUCUCAAUUAACUCCUAGUUGUAAGCCACAAGUCAUCCUCUCUGCCAUAGCAGCACAUACCUGCCCUCUGGCGUAGGUGGAAGACGGAUGAAGUGUUUCACUGUGUAUUUUUACCUUAAUAAAACUCCCCAGAGAAGUUUGCUUCUGGGGGGAAUCUAGCUCUUUGCCGCCUGUUGGCAUCCUGCGUAGGAAAAUGGUAAGCAUGUGUUUCUUGAGCAACAGACUCUUUAAAAACAAAGGCCACCGACUAGUUUUGAUGUUUUCUUUCUAAUGCACAGUCCAUUUUAUUCAAAGGUUGAGGUUUUCUUCUUUGUUUGUUGUUUGGUUGGGGUUUUUUUGAUUUGGAAAUAACCUUGGUGGUGUUCCCUUGCAGAUGAAUGAAGACUUCCCCAGCCUCAGGAGCCCCCGCUGAGCUCUUGCGGAGGCUUCUGAUCUGGCCAAGCCAGGAGCUGUGUGUGGGUAGAGUACGUGAGUCAACAAAUGGUCUCUGUGAGUUGCCAGGAGCUGCUGCCCUCCUUGACCAGCUCUUCCCUGCUAGAAAAUUUUGCCAGUGCUCUGCAUCGCAGCAUGCCGCCAUCCCUUCUGCCAGGGCACGGCAGCGAGAGGGUGUCCGGCCACCUAGAAGGCUCUGGCCACCUCCUUGCGGGCACCACUAGCCACUCUGCAGGCACCCCGCUCCCCCCAGCCGGUGCAAAGGGGGAAGACACAAAACCCCAAGCCACUGUCUGCGAGGCUCACCUCAGGCUGCCUGAUUUCUGUAGCAGCCUCUCCCAGGACUUCAUUCCCACCCUGGAGGAGAUUGAGGAGUUCCUAAGGGAGAAGGCUGAGUUCCUCAAAGAAGAAGCAAGUGAGCUUCACCCAGGUGGAGGGAAGGUCGGCAUCAACUCUGAGAUCAGCUUAGGUAGCUCUGGGGGACAGCCUGUCUCUGGUGUUGCUCAAGAAGAUGUCUCAAACGCUGCUCAGCCUGGAGGGACAACGGAUGGUAGUGACCAGGCAGUAGCUUCUGGGAGCAUUCCUGUUGUCCUCCAGAUCCAGCCUCUCCAGGUGGACAGUGGCAUCCCGCUAGCGCAGAGUGCUACAGGUGGUGUGAGGGUGGCCCAGCUGGUUAUCAGCUUGCAGGGCCAAAACCUGUCCCUCCUCCCUCAGGUCCAGCCCCCUGUAACCAUCAUGGACCAAAAGUAUGUCAAAAUCGCCCCCCUGCCGGUCACCAUGAGGCCAGGGGCACCGGGGGAUGUGCAAGAGGUGGAGGCAAACCCCAAGCAUCACAAAGCCCCCCCUUCCCUCGUCCGCAUCCACAAGUGCUCACACCCGGGCUGCGGCAAGAUGUACACCAAGAGUUCCCACCUCAAGGCUCACUUUCGUCGGCACACCGGUGAGAAACCCUACACUUGUGCUUGGCCCAACUGCGGCUGGCGGUAAGUGGGAGCCGCGGGACCGUGCGGGUGGGUGUCCCCGCCAAAGGCCUGCCGUCGCUUGCAGGAGAGCUCUUGGCUGGUGGAAAGCCAGGAUAAAAUCACGAGUUUUCUUUCCCGAGUGAGUUAUAGAUGAGAGCUGGAAGGAGGCUGAGAGGAGUAGAGUUUGUGGAGCGCUUUGGGGAGUUUUCACUCAGCCCAAAAGUGCUGAAAACCUCCAGCUGGGGGAGGCAUAGCUGACACCCUCCCCCUUGAACACCCCAAAUCCCCCCCUGAACUGGAUGCCUAAACACCCCCUAGCAAUACAGCUUUACCAAAUGAUGUUGGUUAUUUAUAUUACAACAGCGUUGGUUAUUUAAAUUUAAAUUACAACAAUUUUGCAAACUUUCUCUGUCUAGUUCAGGACAAUUUCUGCAGUUGGGCUACAAAAAAAGGCUUUUCCCAUUAAUAUUUGUCCCAGGAAAGAAGAGUUUCAGUGCUUCCUCAGGAGCCAGUGCAUAUUCUGUGUUUCUUUAGCAACCCUUUGCUUUCUCUUGCUGUUUGCCUGCCCUGGCUGCUUACAUCCCUCAGACACCUGUGCGCUUGUAGCGUAUCUCCAUGCUGCAUUUACUUUUGUUUGCUCUGCACAUGACGAUGGUUGUCAUUUUCUUUCAUCUGUCUUCUCUAAAUUAACCCUGCUUUAUAAUCUUGCUGCACUUCUCUGAUUAUUUUUCUGCUGUGGUGUUCUCUUCCUGGCACUGCGUACCUGUCCCGGCGGGGCAGGAUGCUCAGUACAGCCUUUGGCAAGAAGGGCUAAUAGUCCUCGGGUCCUGCGUAUCACUUUUCAUCAGCAGAUCUCAAAGCAUAUCACAAAGCAAACUGGUGCUGGCAGCCCUGAGCUUUCCUGGUUCCUUGUGCAAUGCUUUGGCAUACACGGCUGCCUUGUUUCCCCGGAUGGUGUGUUAUGGCUUCUGUCUCAGGCUGGUGAAAGUCUGGAAUGUAUGAGACUAGAUCUGAAUGUUGGGACUUCUUCUUGCCAAGCUGCCGUCCCUUUGCCGUCAGCAGUUGUCCUUCCAUUUCACUCACAACCGCAGUACAUGUUGGCAGCUGUUGGCUCCUUUUCCAGUACCAACCAGUACUGCUGAAUCCUCCCGGACCUGACGCUCAAAGCCUGGGGAUUGAGGAAGGGGACAAUGGCAACCACACAAUCAACACUUUUCCCUCUGGAAAGGAGGAAAGGGAUGGUGCUAGCCUGUACAAUAGCAUCCUGCAGGCUGUCCACUGAGUCACUGUGCUCUGCUCCGCUUGCUGCCCUGCCCUCCGUCUCCAUGGGAGCAGUUCUGCUGUCGAGUGAUGUACUCGGCCAUGGCUGGGGUUCUCCGAGCCUUCCUCCCUUUUCUAGAUGUGGCCCUAACUGUAAUAACAUCAUUUCUCCUGGCCCUGCUUUCUGUGAGGAGCUGAAACCUUGGAACUCGCUUCUUACAGCAAAGCUGGAAAUGAAGUCAGCGGUUUGCAUGGAAGAGCUGAGGAUGGCCUUGGGACGCGUUUUGUUUUUGCGGAGCCUUUUGUGAGCAGCCGCAGUAUUUACCAUACCAGGUGUGAGCUGGAAAUCCUAUCGCUGGGAGUCUGGGGUUACAGCUGAAGCUCCUUGCUUUGUGCUUCUUUGCGUGGGCAUGUUUCAGCCAGAUGGAAAAACCCUUCCGUCCUAAUACUCCUGCCAUCUGUGUUGGCUCCUUAGAGGCAGAACAGGAGUAAAUCCUGUCCAGCCCCCCUCUCCAGCACUCCCCCGACACUCAACAUGCAAAGUGUGCUGAAGUCACACCAGCUCCCAGGCUUUCUUGAGACCUUUGAGGUGGCACUCAUAAAACAGCUGCAGACCAGCUUGCUGCAGCUGCCCCCAGGUCUGGAUCUGUGCGUGCCAGGAAGGGUGCAGGAGAAUUAACCAUGGGGACAUGCAUGUGGUUAAAGGGACUUCCCAGGCUGAUCUGCUCCAGGUGUGGAAAUUACACAGACCAGCAGUCUGAGCUCUGGGUACUCCUGUGGUCCUUGUUGCUGCAUCCUCAGAACAGCAGUCAGCUUGCUUUGGCACGGAAACCUCUGCUUCUGCGCUCCAGGCUGGGUGCAUUUUCUUUUCCUCCCUUGUGCUUGGUAUUUAAACCAGCUCCUCUCCCCAGCUCCCAGCCCAGCCCAGGCUGACAGUGAAAACUCACUGCCAUUCUGAGAAACAAGGGAAUGCUCGGAGUCUGCAGGGAGAACCCAUGCUCUCCGAGGAACAUCGAGCCUUCUCUCAACAGCGAUGCUCUUUUUGGCUUGGUUUUCCCGCUCAGAUGAGCUCUCCCGACACAAGCGCUCCCACUCCGGUGUCAAGCCAUACCAGUGUGCCGCUUGCGAGAAGAAGUUUGCCCGCAGUGACCAUUUAGCCAAAC